UACGUAGGAGACGAGCGUUGUUCGGAAUUACUGGGCGUAAAGGGCUCGUAGGCGGCCAACUAAGUCAGACGUGAAAUCCCUCAGCUUAACUGGGGAACUGCGUCUGAUACUGGAUGGCUUGGAUUCGGGAGAGGAAAGCGGAAUUCCUGGUGUAGAGGUGAAAUUCGUAGAUAUCAGGAGGAACACCAGUGGCGAAGGCGGCUUUCUGGACGGUAACUGACGCUGAGACGGCGAAAAGCGUGGGGAGCAAACAGGG
rnacentral:rRNA from 1 species